AGGGGGUUAGCUCAACUGGCAGAGCGACGGUCUCCAAAACCGUAGGUUGCGGGUUCAAGUCCUGCACCCCCUG
rnacentral:tRNA from 3 species